rnacentral:rRNA from 1 species
CCUACGGGUGGCAGCAGUGGGGAAUAUUGCACAAUGGGGGAAACCCUGAUGCAGCGACGCCGCGUGAGUGAAGAAGUAUUUCGGUAUGUAAAGCCCUAUCAGCAGGGAAGCAAAUGACGGUACCUGAUUAAGAAGCCCCGGCUAACUACGUGCCAGCAGCCGUGGUUAGACGGAGGGGGCAAGCGUUAUCCGGAUUUACUGGGUGUAAUGGGAGCGUAGGCGGUGAUGCAAGUCAGAAGGGAAAGCCCGGGGCUCAACUCCGGGACUGCUUUUGAAACUGUGUGACUGGAGUGCAGGAGAGGUAAGCGGAAUGCGUGGUGUAGCGGUGAAAUGCGUAGAUAUCGGGAGGAACACCAGUGGCGAAGGCAGCUUACUGGACUGUAACUGACGUUGAGGCUCGAAAGCGUGGGGAGCGAACAGGAUUAGAUACCCUUGUAGUC